rnacentral:rRNA from 1 species
GACGAACGCUGGCGGCGUGCUUAACACAUGCAAGUCGAACGGAGCGAAUGAAAGCUUGCUUUUAUAAGCUUAGUGGCAAACGGGUGAGUAACACGUAGACAACCUGCCGACAGGAUGGGGACAACAUUCCGAAAGGAAUGCUAAUACCGAAUGAAGUCGAGGGAAGGCAUCUUCCUUCGAUGAAAGAUGGCCUCUAUAUAUAAGCUAUCACCUGUUGAUGGGUCUGCGUCUGAUUAGCUGGUAGGUGAGGUAACGGCUCACCUAGGCGACGAUCAGUAGCCGGUCUGAGAGGAUGAACGGCCACAUUGGGACUGAGACACGGCCCAGACUCCUACGGGAGGCAGCAGUGGGGAAUCUUCCGCAAUGGGCGCAAGCCUGACGGAGCAACGCCGCGUGAGUGAAGAAGGUCUUCGGAUCGUAAAGCUCUGUUGAUGGGGACGAACGUGCCUAAUGCGAAUAGUAUUAGGUA